UGGGGGAGGCGGGAUCCUGGGCUGUGUCCCGGCGCCCUAUGCUCCGGGGCCUGCGCUGGUGGAUUUGAGCUCCCGGCCCCGCAGCCCCCU
rnacentral:pre_miRNA from 1 species